CAGUCCCUCUUUUGUGGGGACAAAAGCAAGUCAAAGUUUCGCGCAUCCAGAUCUGGGCGAUUUUCAACACCAAAAUGUACAAAUCUCUCCGGAUUUCAAGCUUAACAAUCAAAUUCCAUCAAAAUCGAAUGUGUAUGAGGCGGAUUAAAGCACUAAUCUUAGUGAAUCACAAAUUAAAGCAAAAAUAGAGACUGCAGGAUGGAAUUUCUCGGGUACGGCGAUUAAAUUCUCAAGUAAUGCUGAAAUUGAAGCUGCUAUUCGAAUUUUUGGUAUCAAAUCAUCCACGGAUCUGGUUUUUAAAAUUGAAGCUGAUGUGAGAAGCUGCAGAGUGAAACCUCUAAGCAGGAUAUGGAUAUUAAUGUUCUCAAAUCCUCUGGUGGUAAACAGUCUUCUUAUGCUAAAGCUAUAUCAGGUGCUUAGGAUGCAGUGCUUUGCUUGCUUUUCAUGGAGUCAAGUAGGAUUGAGAGUCUAGAAACAAAGACAAUUUAUUUUAUUUAAAUCUGAGGUGUCAGAAUAUGUUAUUCGUCUUUGAGAUACCGCGGUCUGUAAUAAUUUACUUGCUUAAUAGGUUAUGGUAUGGGACAUAAUAUUAA